rnacentral:rRNA from 1 species
UACGAAGGGUGCAAGCGUUACUCGGAAUUACUGGGCGUAAAGCGUGCGCAGGCUGUUCUGUAAGUCAGAUGUGAAAUCCCCGAGCUCAACUUGGGAACUGCGUUUGAAACUACAGGACUAGAAUAUGUCAGAGGGGGGUAGAAUUCCACGUGUAGCAGUGAAAUGCGUAGAGAUGUGGAGGAAUACCAAUGGCGAAGGCAGCCCCCUGGGAUAAUAUUGACGCUCAUGCACGAAAGCGUGGGGAGCAAACAGG